GACGAACCGUCCAAACGUUAUUCGGAAUCACUGGGCUUAAAGCGUGUGUAGGCGGGCCGUUAAGUGUCUUGUGAAAUCCCCCGGCUCAACCGGGGAAUUGCUGGGCAUACUGGCGGUCUUGAGCAGUUCAGGGGCAGAUGGAACAAGUGGUGGAGCGGUGAAAUGCGUAGAUAUCACUUGGAACGCCAACGGUGAAAACAGUCUGCUGGGAACUUGCUGACGCUGAGACACGAAAGCCAGGGGAGCGAACGGG
rnacentral:rRNA from 1 species